GAUGAACGCUGGCGGCGUGCCUAAUACAUGCAAGUCGAGCGAAUGGAUUAAGAGCUUGCUCUUAUGAAGUUAGCGGCGGACGGGUGAGUAACACGUGGGUAACCUACCCAUAAGACUGGGAUAACUCCGGGAAACCGGGGCUAAUACCGGAUAACAUUUUGAACCGCAUGGUUCGGAAUUGAAAGGCGGCUUCGGCUGUCACUUAUGGAUGGACCCGCGUCGCAUUAGCUAGUUGGUGAGGUAACGGCUCACCAAGGCAACGAUGCGUAGCCGACCUGAGCUGGUGACCGGCCACAAUGGGUCUGAGACACGGCCCAGGCUCCUACGGGAGGGAGCAGUAGGGAAUCUUCCGCAAUGGACGAAAGUCUGACGGAGCAACGCCGCGUGAGUGAUGAAGGCUUUCGGGUCGUAAAACUCUGUUGUUAGGGAAGAACAAGUGCUAGUUGAAUAAGCUGGCACCUUGACGGUACCUAACCAGAAAGCCACGGCUAACUACGUGCCAGCCGCCGCAGUAA
rnacentral:rRNA from 1 species